GGGCUUGUAGAUCAGCGGUAGAUCACUCCCUUGGCAUGGGAGAGGCCGGGGGUUCGAAUCCCCCCAAGUCCA
rnacentral:tRNA from 1 species